AUACCCCAUGAUGCUCAGGUCCGCCGCAUCUCCUGGGUCCGUGGGGUUGGCCGGUUGGUGCUGGUGUUAGUGGCCUCCUCGUACCGCAGCCAGUUGCCAGCCGGCCCCCAA
rnacentral:sRNA from 1 species